rnacentral:rRNA from 1 species
GAGUUUGAUCCUGGCUCAGAUUGAACGCUGGCGGCACGCCUUACACAUGCAAGUCGAACGGCAGCACGGGAGCUUGCUCCUGGUGGCGAGUGGCGAACGGGUGAGUAAUGCAUCGGAACGUAUCCUGGAGUGGGGGAUAACGUAGCGAAAGUUACGCUAAUACCGCAUAUUCUGUGAGCAGGUAAGCGGGGGACCUUCGGGCCUCGCGCUCUUGGAGCGGCCGAUGUCGGAUUAGCUAGUUGGUGAGGUAAAGGCUCACCAGGGCGACGAUCCGUAGCAGGUCUGAGAGGAUGAUCUGCCACACUGGAACUGAGACACGGUCCAGACUCCUACGGGAGGCAGCAGUGGGGAAUUUUGGACAAUGGGGGCAACCCUGAUCCAGCCAUGCCGCGUGAGUGAAGAAGGCCUUCGGUUGUAAGUACGUCUUUCGU